UCUUUCAUGGUAUUGAGUGGAAACUUGUCCUUUUUUCUUCCUUUGGAAGAUGUCUUGGUUCAAGUGGGUUGAGUGUUCUCCAAAGAAUAACUAAAAAAAAAAAAAAAAAACAAAAAUAAGCAAACUUCUAACUCAUUAACAACUAACUUUUAAUUUCAAUCCAUUUACUUUAAUGUCAUUUAAUUUUAGUCUUUAUUCAUUUGCCAUUAUUCAUACCAUUCUAAUUGUUUAUGCUAAUGCAAUUUUCACUUUGUCCACUUGUAACAUAUUG
rnacentral:lncRNA from 1 species